ACUCAAAGGAAUUGACGGGGGCUCACACAAGCGGUGGAGCAUGUGGCUUAAUUCGAGGCUACGCGCAAAACCUUAUCCCGGGCUUGACAUGCACGGAUUAGCCGGCGGAAACGUCGGCGACGCCGCGAGGUGGAACGUGCACAGGUGCUGCAUGGCUGUCGUCAGCUCGUGCCGUGAGGUGUUGGGUUAAGUCCCCUAACGAGCGCAACCCCUGUGCCUAGUUGCCAUCAUUCAGUUGGGCACUCUAGGCAGACCGCCGGCGUCAAGCCGGAGGAAGGCGGGGAUGACGUCAAGUCCUCAUGGCCCUUAUGCCCGGGGCCGCACACGUGCUACAAUGGGCCGGACAGAGCGUCGCCACCGCGCGAGCGGGAGCUAAUCGCCGAAACCGGCCCCCAGUUCGGAUUGCGGGCUGCAACCCGCCCGCAUGAAGCCGGAAUCGCUAGUAAUCGCGGAUCAGCACUGCCGCGGUGAAUGGGUUCCUGAGCCUUGUACACACCGCCCGU
rnacentral:rRNA from 1 species